UUCUGUCUUCCUGACCAUGUAAUAAUCAGUCUCCCCCAUAAGGCUUUGGUAGGAAAAUGUGGGUUGUUUUGGACUAUCGUGCAUAACGGGGGAGACUACCCUCGGCGGAUUUCCAAACUAUUGUAGUUGUUGAUAGUUGUUGUAAUGUGGGUUUAAGAGUACAGUUUUCUACCAAAGUUCAGUCUUCUGAAGUUAUUCUUAAAUCUUCAAAGAAUGAAGAGGUUAAAUGCUUUGAGGAAAAUAUUGGCAGGUAUCUUCAAGCAUGGAUUCUCCCUUCAGAAGCCAUUUUGAUCUUCAGAAAGUUCUAUAGUUCUUGGAGGCUACAACAGAAGCCAUUUUGAUCUUCAGAAAGUUCUAUAGUUCUUGGAGGCUACAACAGUCUACAACUGAGUGGAAAUUCGUCGAGGUUUAGUUAAUAAGGUUGCUUAAUUUUAAGUUACUUUUUAAGUCUCGUAUACAUUCAUAUAAUAUUUUGAGUUAAUGAAUUUUUAAUUUUAAGUUUAUUGAUGUGCCCUUUAUAGUACUUUCAGGGCUUAGUUUAUAAGGUUGCUUAAUUUUAAGUUUCUCGUAUACAUUUAUAUAAGUUAAUAAAUUUGUAAUAGUAAUAUAAGUAAUAUAAGUUGAUUGUGCCCUAUAUAGUACUUUGAGGGCUAAUUUUAGAUUUAAAAUCAUAAGUUUACUUUAAUGACUAGUUUAAGUAUUACAAAAGAGCAUCCACGUCUUACACAAGUUUAAUUUAAGGUAUAAAUUUAAGGAAAAUAAGGAAAAUAAGUUAACUGUUUAAGGUACUUGCUUCAUAGACUACAAUUAAGGUGUAACUAGUUAACUGUAAGGAUGAGAGAUACUAAUACAAAAACACUGUUCAAGUAUUCAUGUUGUUCCUGCCAGUAACUUGAAAACCUGACGGAUUGGACUUCUGAAACUUUUAAGAAAUUUAAUUUGGGUACCACUUAACAGUAUUCCAGACAGAUCCUAUAAUUCAAUGCAAAGCUUUCUAUGGGCUCUAAUAUUGACAGGCUAUAUUCACUUAAGUCUUAUAAGAUUUGCUCUUAAUUACGCUAUUCUUAAGCCUUUCUAUGGACUUAAUCGAAAUGAUAUUGACUAGUAUUUUAUUUUCAAAACUAAAGUUUACUAGAGGACAAAUAAGUAUUUUACUGAUAGGUGUAUGCCUCUUGAUUACACUUAGAUUGCUGGAGGACAAAUUUUAGGACAAAUUUAUUUAAAUGCAGUAGGUAUCAUAAACUCUUAAUUACACCUAAAUCUACUAGAUACUAGAACUAAUUGAGUAACUGCGCACAGCGUAUUCUUGCAGAAUUUUUUUCAAAAGGCUAUUUAAGGCUAAUAUAAACCUGUUUUAACAGUAUUUGCCUUUGAUAAGCUUCCAGUGAGUUUAGUGUUUAUAUAUAUGGCUAAUAUUAUGAACUUUUUCUAGGUAUUGUAAAUUCUCCAAAGGGAAUAUGUAAUGCAUUUGGUGUAAAAGGUUACUUAAUUUGUCCAGCAAUUUAUAAACUUCAAAGAAUUAGCUGAAUGUUCUGUAUUAUUUUGAGCCAAUGUCCUGGCUUAGUUUUCACUGGUUCCUCAAGAAUAAGUAAUGCUGACUUUUGUCCCUAAAGAAUUAUUGUAUAUUAUACCUUGUCACUAAAUUACAAAUAUUGUAAAGUGUACCUAUUUAAGUCUCUUAAUUUUUUAAAGUUAAGUGCUUGCUUAGUUUUGUAAGAUUUUCUAGGCUGUAAGUUACUAUAUACUUUAUACGACUGUUCUAGAAGAGAACACCAGGCUUUGCUAUUUCCGAAGGUUGAAACUAGUAGGAGGCUUUGUCCCCUAUGCUGUUAGUGAAAAUUUUCUUUAAUUGGUAAGGUAUCUGGAUACCUUGCCAAUCGGAUAUUAGAUUUUCGGAAGUCCCAUGCUACUGUUUUGAAGAAGUCUUAAUAAAAUGCUGUCUUAAUAAAAUUGAACUAAC